UCGACUCCACCGAUCGAGAUCGAUCGACGAGUGCGGAGGCGAUGGCGGCGGCGGCGGUGGCGGCGCUCCCCGAAGACGUGCUCG
rnacentral:sRNA from 1 species